CGGAUAGAUCAUAAAUGCUGGAAUGCUUUAUGAUUGAAAGGUUUCGACCGCCUUAGGAUGGAUCUGCGGCCUAUCAGGUUGUAGUGGGUGUAAUGUACCUACUAGCCUACGACGGGUACGGGUUGUGGAAGCAAGAGCCCGGAGAUGGAUUCUGAGACAUGAAUCCAGGCCCUACGGGGCGCAGCAGGCGCGAAAACUUUACAAUGCGGGAAACCGUGAUAAGGGAACACUGAGUGCUAGCAUUUAUGUUAGCUGUCCACAUGUGUAAAUAGCAUGUGAUAGCAAGGGCUGGGCAAGACCGGUGCCAGCCGCCGCGGUAACACCGGCAGCCCGAGUGGUGAUCACUAUUAUUGGGUCUAAAGGGUCCGUAGCCGGUUUAAUCAGUCUUCUGGGAAAUCUAAUCGCUUAACUAUUAGGCUUCCAGGGGAUACUGUUAGACUUGGGACCGGGAGAGGUAAGAGGUACUGCAGGGGUAGGAGUGAAAUCUUGUAAUCCCUGUGAGACCACCAGUGGCGAAGGCGUCUUACCAGAACGGGUCCGACGGUGAGGGACGAAAGCUGGGGGCACGAACC
rnacentral:rRNA from 1 species